CAUCCUGUGUAUGUUGGCUCUAAGCCCAGCCAAGCCCCAUGCCCUCCAUUUCAGGGACAGAGGGUGGCUCAUCCCUUUCAUGCUCCCUCAGCUCCCUCCCCAGUGCCUGGUGGCUGCUUGGCAUCACAGUCAUGCCCUUGAACGACGGGAGCUGGUCCACACUGCAUCCGUGGUCAUGCAGUCAUCCUCCCUCCACAGAGCCAGGCCAAAAGGGCUCCACUGCGCUUAGACUUUGAGGGAAUGGACAUUUUGAAUGGCUGUCUUGUGUGAUCCCUCAGAGGAGAAGGAGAUUCCUUGAAUGGGAGUGGUCUGUUGUUGAGAGGGGUCCUGAAAGACAGGGGGCAGAGACACGGGGAGGAUCCACAUAAUGAGGAAGCAGCUGAGAGCAAAGGAGCCCCUGCCAGAAGAAUAUCCUUGGGGGGUAAAAAGCUGACUCUGCCAUUUCUGCCCAGCCCAUUCAUCCCAGCCCAGACAAUUCAAAUCUACCUUCUAACAGGACCUAGAAAGGAUGUAAAAUGGCCUGGUAUAAAUAUCCCCUGGGUCUGGGGAAACUCUCAGGAGCAGUGACAUCACAGGAAAAACCACCAACCAAGGCCAAGGAGACCAGAGCCCAGCACCUCACCCAGAGGACCCCAGUCAGAGGCCCCAUCUCAGACCCCAGGCUAGCAUGGGCUGCAGGCUGCUCUGCUGUGCGGUUCUCUGUCUCCUGGGAGCAGUCCCCAUGGAAAUGGGAGUUACCCAGACACCAAGACACCUGGUCAUGGGAAUGACAAAUAAGAAGUCUUUGAAAUGUGAGCAAGAUCUGGGGCAUAAUGCUAUGUAUUGGUACAAGCAAAGUGCUGAAAAGCCACCAGAGCUGAUGUUUGUCUACAAUCUUAAAGAACCAACUGAAAACAACAGUGUGCCAAGUCGCUUCUUACCUGAAUGCCCCAACAGCUCUCACUUAUUCCUUCACCUACACGCCCUGCAGCCAGAAGACUCAGCCCUGUAUCUCUGCACCAGCAGCCAAGACACAGCCUUGCAGAGUCACCGCUUUUCUGUGCAGAAACCUUCGGGGCCCUCCAGGAAGCCAUGAGGGCCGCCAAAGCCUUGGGUGAACAUUUCCUGCAAGAGCUCCGACAGAAGCUUCAGAAGGUCAUAACACCUGCUAAUUCAUCCAUGUGGCAACGUUACAUCCUAUGCUCAUAUUUAGAGUGUGGAUUUUCUUUAGCGUGUGACUCUGCCCUGUCAACUGAUUUGAAAAAUGAUAAACACAUUCAGAUCUAGUCUUUUUAAAAUCCCUUUUUAAAUUGUAAAAUAAAGCAACUUGCUAUAAGGGGAUUGUUUAGUUUAAGAUUUUAUAA